UUUUAUCCUGUCGAGUCUUACCACACAUCCACUGCAACAUCCUCAUCUCCGCUACAUAUAGCCCAGUAAUAUGGAUUUACAUAUACCACUACUGCCAUUUCUUUCAUUCUAGAUCUUGAAGCUUGAUCGAAGUGAGUUUUUUUAAUACAUGAAACCAAACCCACCUAGUAGAAAACGGCAUUUGUUGUUCUAAAUCCCGCUGUUGUUUAAUAUGCCCAAAACUGUAUUGUGGCUUCGUAUCUUGCAGUUAAAAAUACAAUAACUUGAGUAUUCUUUAUAUUGGAAAGCUAUAUUAAUAAUUAAUUUUAAUCGGCAAAGAACUGCGAUUGGUUUGAAUUGCAAUGAGAACGUACACUUCUCUCGCAGAUUUUGUUAUUGCUAUAUGUGAAGAUUUCGUCCUGCCCUUACAUUAUUACAAUUUACAAGGGUCUUUCUCGAUUCAAACUGUGCUAAAAGGUAGCACUGUCCGGUAAUUUCCUUGCCGCAGACAUAAAUUGAUGAAGUUACGUUUCGUUUUCAUUUUUUUCAUGGGGAACGAUAUUAUAGAGUUUUUAGAUAAUACGGAAUUGUUAGUUGUACAUUGUCUUGUAACUGUUGUUAAGGGUACCAUUAUUUUGGGUAUGCUUAGGAUGGACAGCUCUCCUACAGUAUUUCUUUUUCCUCGUUUUGUAUUUGUAUUAUCUUUGUUGAGGAUUUCUUAUCCUCCAAUCUUUUGUACUUAUCUAUUUUUUCUUUCUGUAAUUAAAUUUGUUGAGGGUUUCUUAUCCUCCAAUUCUUAAAA